rnacentral:lncRNA from 1 species
CUGAUACUCACUCGUGAUGAAGAGAAUCCUGGGACAAGUGAAUUGUCUUUCUGCUACCACCUGGUCCUGGAGUUAUCAUUGCAUUUUGGUUUCCUGAAGCCUUCUUUGUGUUUCUUGCUGGCAUUCCAUGAAGAUGACUAAACCUGCUCUGGAAACCUCUUCUCCCUGAAUGGGACAUGAGGGGGAAAGUACCAGUUAAGAUACUUUCAAAGACUGGGUCAGGCAAUUCUCUCUCCAGUUCUGUAGAGUCGUCUUGCUCCCACCAGGGAAUGACUCCUGUAAUUCCACAUGCUCCACCAGAUUCAUUUUCAUGAAACCAGUCACUCUGCUCAUCAUCACCUUGUCUUCCCUCAUCGUUGGUAAACAAACCAGCAUCACUGCUGCUCAGACUGCUGGAUUCACUGUCGCUCAUGUUCUCAUCUGAGCCCUUUUGCUCCUCAUACUCCAUUUUGUCCUUAUUUGCUUGGUUCAUUUCUUCAUUUUCUAUUACUACUCCUUCAUCCAAGAUUUCCGGUCCUUGUCGAACUGCAGCUACUUUUCUCUUCUUCACUUUGCUCUUAGAAAACUCCUGAUGUUGGUAUGAUUUAUUGUCAUUGUCCAUUUCUUGAUCUCUGCUAUCCUGAUGCUGAGUUAUUGUCAGUGCAUUAGAAACUUCGGAUGGCAGAUCUAUUGCCAUCCGUUUCACCUUUCUUCUCCUGCGCAAAGUUCUGUUUCCUAAAUUGUCCACAGCCAAAUCUGGUUCAUGCCAUAGAGGUCUUUUGCCUCUAAUGUUAUUUAAGUUUGAGGAAGGCCUGCGUUUAGCAAUCAACAACUGGUCAUCAGAGUCACUGUGGUCUUUCUUGUUAGUA